rnacentral:misc_RNA from 1 species
UCGCUGUAUAGUUUAUUUGUUGCUGUUCUUGUAGCGUAUUUGAGAUAGUUUAAUGAUCGUUUGAGCUUACGCUGCUGGCCGUGCUCUUCCUAAAUUCAUAACCUUCAUGUUUGCCUUAAAGUUCAGAUUAUUCGCCUACUAGUCGUCCACCUUUUCUUUUUAUUCUUAAGCAUGUUUUAUCGUUGUGAGCAGACCGAUUGUUGGUUCCAAAUUAACUGUGUAUUGAUUAUUCGAAGCAUGAUACAUGUUUUCGGGGUUGUGG